ACAUGCAAUUCGAACGGGCUUCUUCGGAAGUCAGUGGCAGACGGGUGAGUAACACGUGGGAACGUGCCCUUCGGUUCGGAAUAACUCAGGGAAACUUGAGCUAAUACCGGAUACGCCCUUAUGGGGAAAGGUUUACUGCCGAAGGAUCGGCCCGCGUCUGAUUAGCUUGUUGGUGGGGUAACGGCCUACCAAGGCGACGAUCAGUAGCUGUCUGAGAGGAUGAUCAGCCACACUGGGACUGAGACACGGCCCAGACUCCUACGGGAAGGCAGCAGUGGGGAAUAUUGGACAAUGGGCGCAAGCCUGAUCCAGCCAUGCCGCGUGAGUGAUGAAGGCCUUAGGGUUGUAAAGCUCUUUUGUCCGGGACGAUAAUGACGGUACCGGAAGAAUAAGCCCCGGCUAACUUCGUGCCAGCAGCCGCGGUAAUACGAAGGGGGCUAGCGUUGCUCGGAAUCACUGGGCGUAAGGGCGCGUAGGCGGCCGAUUAAGUCGGGGGUGAAAGCCUGUGGCUCAACCACAGAAUUGCCUUCGAUACUGGUUGGCUUGAGACCGGAAGAGGACAGCGGAACUGCGAGUGUAGAGGUGAAAUUCGUAGAUAUUCGCAAGAACACCAGUGGCGAAGGCGGCUGUCUGGUCCGGUUCUGACGCUGAGGCGCGAAAG
rnacentral:rRNA from 1 species